rnacentral:rRNA from 1 species
UACGUAGGGUGCAAGCGUUGUUCGGAAUCACUGGGCGUAAAGGGAGUGUAGGCGGGAUCGUAAGUUAGGAGUUUAAUCCACGGGCUCAACCUGUGGUCUGCUUUUAAUACUGCGGUUCUUGAGUAUGGGAGAGGGCGAUGGAAUUCCAGGUGUAGCGGUGGAAUGCGUAGAUAUCUGGAAGAACACCAGUAGCGAAGGCGGUCGCCUGGCCCAAUACUGACGCUGAUACUCGAAAGCUAGGGGAGCAAACAGG